rnacentral:lncRNA from 1 species
GUAAUUUUGAUAUUUAUUAACCAAUGAUGUGUACAUGGUAGUUUAUUAAUUGUAAAGAAGGUACCUUUUGGGGGGUCAAAAUGGCCCUGUUUUGAAACUAUGGCCUUAUUACCUGAAACUUUGUAAUUUAAAAAGUAAAAUAAAUCUAUAAAAUUUAUAUUUUGUCAACAAUUUGUAAAUUAUUUUUAUUUGCCUCUACACUAUGUUGAGAGCUUUGAAGUAGCAAAAUAUUUGAAAACAACCAAAUAUGACAUAGUGCAUGCAUCACCCAAAGAGAUAUUUUUACAGAAAGUUGAUCUAGUCACAGUCUAUCUUAAUUUAAAUUUGAGUCAAAGCUGUACACUAUAUUGAUUCAGCCAACUUAUCACUUAAAAUAUUUCAAUUUUUUUACAAAUUUACAGAGCUAAGUACACCCCAAACUGUACCUUCUUCUUUGACAGUAGUGUAAUGAACAAAAAGUGUAGAUAAACAUACUUUUUUGAAAUUUUUAUUUCAACUUGCUUUAACUAAGAACACAUCAAAAGCAGUCUGAUUAGUCCUAACAUUCCAGAAACCAUAGUGAGGCUAAAAUAUUUCUGUAUCACUCACCCUAUAUCAAAGCUUUUUGCUGUAAAAGUCUAAAAUAACCAUUUAUUGUAGCAAAUUUUAUUUACGGAGUUUACAAGAGGCUUACUUAUAGUGCUGCAUUGCUUAUCAAAAUUUUUGUGUCAUCAUUGCUGCUGCUUGUCAGGAAAACAUUUGGAUUUGUAUUUUCAGAGGUAAACAAUUUUUGAAUUAAUCCAAUGAGAAUCGAUAAUUGCUACUGAUCAGCACAAAUUCGAGAAUCCAUGUAUCAAAACUUUCAUAAAUCAAUCCUGUCAAGUUUGAUUCACUGUGGCCAAGUAGCUUCAGAUAAAAGAAGGAACAUUUAAUUAACCAUUGCAAACUUUUGAAACACUAUUCCAUGUCUGUUGCCUAUUCAGCACUAACUGUGGAAUAUUGUAUAUCACACAUUAUAUACAUUCAAAACCUUUAUAGAUAUCAACAUAUUUAAAGUUUGUUUCCAAAUGGUCUAGUGGUUUCAGAAAAGAAAGUAAUAAGAAUAUUUGUCCAUCUGACACCCCACCCUUUUAAGGUUUUUUUAAUUGAACUUUUGUUAAUUUUACCUCUAUGUUCUAUUUAUGACAUGGCAGCCAUGUUGGUUUGCGUACAGUGUCAUCCUAUAUAGUUUUGAAAGUAGACACCCUAAGGAUGAUCCAGACAAACUUUGAUUCCAAUUGGGACAGUGGUUUCAAAGGAGAAGAUUAAAAUAUUAAAAGUUAAUGGACAGAUGACAGACGCUAAGUGAUGGCAAAAGCCAGCUGAGCUAAAUACAGUGUAUACACAUAUAUUUUGUAUGCAUGGUAUUAAUGUUUAUAACAUAAUAGAAAAUUAAUCAAAAAUAAUUUGUAGUGUAAAGUUAUCUUAAAUAUAUUUAAGAAGCUGAACUACAGGUAAAAUAAAGAAAUCUAUAGUUCAUCAACAUUAUUCAUUGAUAGUCUAUAAUUAUUAACACACACAAAACAUCCCAUGUUGCCUCAGAAGAAAAUAAUUGAAAAAACAGACGAUAAAAACUAGAGCUCUCUGAAACAACAGCAAAUCCCUUUUAGGCUGAAAUAAAAUAUUGUGUGUUCUGAUUACAAAACAAAAUAAAGGUCAAUAUUUUUUUUAAAUUUUAACUGAAACAUUGUGAUUGCUAAAUGAUGUAAUACAUAUGCAUGUCAAUUCAAAGAAUCCAUUGAAAUAAGUCCUCAGUGGGUUUUUUUUAAUAUUGAAGACUGGUUUGGUAACUGUAUGAAGGAAUUUAACUGAAAGAUUAUACAAAAGUGUAUAUAAUAAAGAGCACCAGUUUAUUUUAUAAUCUUAAGUAAAACCUUUGGUGUCUGGGGUAAAAAUCAGGGUCUGUUGUAUAUAAAACAGAAACACAAUAUUUGUUUGUUGCCUUAAAUCAUUUCUGAAUAAUCCAAUAACAGUGUUGACAUUUAUUAGCAUUCAUAAAUACCUCAUGUAUGAAUCUUAACCCAAACUUAAGGGCAUACGAUACAGUUUUGAUCCCACGGUGAUUUGUUUACGAAAAUUGGCAUACAAACUAUUUUUCACAUUUUCAAUUCAAAUAUGUAAUAAAAAAUAUACCUUCAUGUGCUACUUUAAGAGAUAGGAUCGAAAUUUUAGACAUUUACUCAAAAUUUCGUUUUUUUGGACAUUUCUAUCCAUUGGAUAGACAUACCUAACUUUUUUGUUUCAAAAGAUAAACACAAGCGGAUUUUUGUAAAAUCAUUUGGGGGAAAUCUUCUUUACAUAAGUAUACUAUAAAUUUGUAUAACAAUUCUUUGGAAAUAAUUAAUUGUUAUCAAAGUUUAAUGAUUUUAAAUUAGAGGCUCUCAAGAGCCUGUGUCGCUCACCUUAGUCUAUGUGCAUAAUAACCAAUGGACACAGAUAAAUUCAUGACAAAAUUGUGUUUUGGUGAUCAUGUGUUUGUAGAUCUUAUUUUAAUGAACAUUCUUGUUGCUACAAUUAUCUCUAUCUAUAAUGAACUUGGCCAAGUAAUUAAAGUGUAAAAUAUUUUCUAAAUAUUUACAAAAAUUUAUGAAAAUUGUUCAAAAAUGAC